GAAUCACCAAUUCAACAACCAAAUUUCUUUGUGUUUGAAUUGAUCAGCAUACGACGACAUCGAUAGUUACAGGUAUACAUACCAAUAUACCAUAUAUGUAUAAAGUGUGCACUUUCAAAGAAGAAAUCAACCAGCACGAGAAGCUCGAAUUGACCGAUCAUGGCGUCGCAGCCCGAAAUCUUCGACGUGUUAGGGCCGUUGCGCCUGCUAACCUCUUUCGAUUGGAGAAGGAGUUCUCAUCGAAGAUCCCUCGUUGCGAGCCUCGUUCAAGGUGUUUACAGUCUGGAACACGACCGCCAACGAGGAUGUGUCCUGAACAUGAACCAACACGAGGCUCAUGCUUCUCCAUGGUGGGAACGAUUUCACUUCCAGUUGAAUAAUGUUCUUGUAGACGAUAGUGACUUAUCGUAUUUCGGAGCCAUUUACGAGCUCAAAUACGCACAUCCGUGUUUCUACCAAUCAAGCCCUCACCCUCCGAGGUACGUCAUAGCCUUUCGAGGAACACUCAUCACGAAUUUCACCAGAUAUGAAGACAUGAAACUAAACAUGCGGUGAGUCUCGCUAAACUUUACGAAAGCUUACGCUUUUGAGCAUGUAUGAUUUGAUAAUUGAUAAUGAAAGUAUACAUGCUAUACUUAAAAUUACGUGAUUGUUUGUUGAUGAUACAUAGGAAUUAGUGUUGUUCACGAGCCGAACUAAAGUCAGCUCGAGCAACUUGACUCAAAUACCCAACCGAGUUAAAAAAUCUUACACCCUAACUCCGCUUAUUUACAGAUUAUUAAACUAAGUCUUCUCGUGGCUUGUUAUUUCAAGAAAAUUUAAUGUUCGAGAUUUUGGUAAGUUGUUCAAAGAUCCUGUCGUUUGUUUCAAGACGUCACAUGACGCCAGACAAUGUUUCAAGAAGAUUUUCAUAAUCUAGUUGUAGCCAUAGCUAUAGCGAUGACAGAUCAAUGGAGAUCGAAGUUGAACUGACGGUUGUCAGAGCAUAUCGGAGUGCUGGCAGAGGAUGACAACGGCAUAUCAAUGGUGAUCGAAGUUGAAGUGAUUGUGAUUGGAGCAGAGUAGCAGACCCCGGAUGGUGAUUAUAGUCUAUGCAAUUAAUAUCGGUAAUAUAUCGGUUAUCGGUCCCAUGGAAAAUAUCAGUGUCAUUCGAUACUAAUAUUAUCGGCGAUAUUUGAUGGAUAUAUCACCGAUAUUGUUGGGAUCCUAUCAGUUUACAGUUAACGGCUUCUCAUGGUUACAAACAGGAAGGAUUGCCAGAUAACAUGAUUCAAUGGCUUACUGUUGAAGAUCAAAGACAUUUGAAUUUAACACCGUGCGCCAUCCUUCGGUGUGUUUUGAAUUGACCAGACUUUCUGAUUGAUAUAACUCACUUCUGUAUGCCUGGAUCUCUUGAUUUUCUCUUGAUUUUUCUGUAACUCAAGCGAAAAACGAGGGUAAUUGAAAAGAUUCUUGAAUAUACGUCGGUCGGAAUUCAAAUAGAUCAGGCUAGACGGUAUUCAUAAUGUUUUGGCUUUUCCUGGUGAUCCUCCACGUGGUCGGCAUAAGUUUGUAAAGAUCCA